rnacentral:tRNA from 1 species
GCCGGGGUGGCGGAAGUGGCAGACGCGCUCGGCCUUCGGGUCGGGCGUUCCCCCAGGGAACGUGAAGGUUCGACACCUUCCCCCGGCACCG